rnacentral:pre_miRNA from 1 species
UAUUGCUGCACUGUUGCAACAUUGCCAUAAUGUUGCUGUACUAUUAUGGCAAUGUUGCAACAGUGCAGCAAUA